UACGUAGGGGGCAAGCGUUAUCCGGAUUUACUGGGUGUAAAGGGAGCGUAGACGGCUAUGCAAGUCUGGUGUGAAAACCCGGGGCUCAACCCCGGGACUGCAUUGGAAACUGUGUAGCUAGAGUGUCGGAGAGGUAAGUGGAAUUCCUAGUGUAGCGGUGAAAUGCGUAGAUAUUAGGAGGAACAUCAGUGGCGAAGGCGGCUUACUGGACGAUCACUGACGUUGAGGCUCGAAAGCGUGGGGAGCAAAC
rnacentral:rRNA from 1 species